rnacentral:tRNA from 1 species
AAUUGAUAUAGACCCAAGUCAUUUAGUGAGAUGUGGAAGACGACGCGUUUGAAAUGGUCGGGAUAGCUCAGCUGGUAGAGCAGAGGACUGAAAAUC